GACGAACGCUGGCGGCGUGCUUAACACAUGCAAGUCGAACGGAAAGGCCCUGCUUUUGUGGGGUGCUCGAGUGGCGAACGGGUGAGUAACACGUGAGUAACCUGCCCUUGACUUUGGGAUAACUUCAGGAAACUGGGGCUAAUACCGGAUAGGAGCUCCUGCUGCAUGGUGGGGGUUGGAAAGUUUCGGCGGUUGGGGAUGGACUCGCGGCUUAUCAGCUUGUUGGUGGGGUAGUUGCUUACCAAGGCUUUGACGGGUAGCCGGCCUGGGAGGGUGACCGGCCACAUUGGGACUGAGGUACGCCCCAGACUCCUACGGGAGGCAGUAGUGGGAAAUAUUGCCCAGUGGGCGGGAGCCUGAUGCAGCAGCGCCGCGUGCGGGAUGCCGGCCUUCGGGUUGUAAACCGCUUUCGCCUGUGACGAAGCGUGAGUGACGGUAAUGGGUAAAGAAGCACCGGCUAACUACGUG
rnacentral:rRNA from 1 species